rnacentral:rRNA from 1 species
AGAGUUUGAUCAUGGCUCAGGAUGAACGCUAGCUACAGGCUUAACACAUGCAAGUCGAGGGGCAGCAUUGGAGUAGCAAUACUCAGAUGGCGACCGGCGCACGGGUGAGUAACACGUAUCCAACCUGCCGCUUACUCGGGGAUAGCCUUUCGAAAGAAAGAUUAAUACCCGAUGGUAUAAAGAGUUCGCAUGUUCUCUUUAUUAAAGAAUUUCGGUAAGCGAUGGGGAUGCGUUCCAUUAGAUUGUUGGCGGGUAACGGCCCACCAAGUCUACGAUGGAUAGGGGUUCUGAGAGGAAGGUCCCCCACAUUGGAACUGAGACACGGUCCAAACUCCUACGGGAGGCAGCAGUGAGGAAUAUUGGUCAAUGGACGAGAGUCUGAACCAGCCAAAGUAGCGUGAAGGAUGACUGCCCUAUGGGUUGUAAACUUCUUUUAUAAGGGAAUAAAGUGAGGGACGUGUCCCUUUUUGUAUGUACCUUAUGAAUAAGGAUCGGCUAACUCCGUGCCAGCCGCGGC